AUUGAACGCUGGCGGCAGGCCUAACACAUGCAAGUCGAACGAGUGGCGGACGGGUGAGUAAUGUCUGGGAAACUGCCUGAUGGAGGGGGAUAACUACUGGAAAAGGUAGCUACUACCGCAUACCAUCAGAUUUGCCCAGAUGGGAUUAGCGAGUUGGUGGGGUAACGGCUCACAAAGGCGAAGAUCCCUAGCUGGUCUGAGAGGAUGACCAGCCACACGGGAACGGAGACACGGUGCAGACUCCUACGGGAGGGAGCAGUGGUGAAUAUUGCACAAUGGGCGAAAGGCUGAUGCAGCAAUGCCGCGUGGAUGAAGAAGGCCUUCGGGUUGUAAAGUACUGUCAGCGGGGAGGCGUUACCCGCAGAAGAAGCACCGGCUAACUCCGUGCCAGCAGCCGCGGUAAUUC
rnacentral:rRNA from 1 species